rnacentral:tRNA from 1 species
AAGAUUUUAAGUUAAUUAAACCUAAAACCUUCAAAGUUUUAUAUAUAUAUAUAUAAUUUAUUUAAAUCUUA